rnacentral:rRNA from 1 species
UACGUAGGGUGCAAGCGUUGUCCGGAAUUAUUGGGCGUAAAGAGCUCGUAGGCGGUCUGUCACGUCGGGCGUGAAAUCCAGGGCUUAACCCUGGACCUGCGUUCGAUACGGGCAGACUAGAGUUCGGUAGGGGAGACUGGAAUUCCUGGUGUAGCGGUGAAAUGCGUAGAUAUUGGGAGGAACACCAGUGGCGAAGGCGGCUCACUGGACCGGUACUGACGCUGAUGCGCGAAAGCGUGGGGAGCAAACGGG